rnacentral:rRNA from 1 species
UCGAGCGAACCAAUAAGAAGCUUGCUUUUUGUUGGUUAGCGGCGGACGGGUGAGUAACACGUGGGUAACCUGCCUGUAAGACCGGGAUAACUCCGGGAAACCGGUGCUAAUACCGGAUAGAUUAUCUUUCCACCUGGAGAGAUAAGGAAAGAUGGCUUUUGCCAUCACUUACAGAUGGGCCCGCGGCGCAUUAGCUAGUUGGUGAGGUAACGGCUCACCAAGGCGACGAUGCGUAGCCGACCUGAGAGGGUGAUCGGCCACACUGGGACUGAGACACGGCCCAGACUCCUACGGGAGGCAGCAGUAGGGAAUCUUCCGCAAUGGACGAAAGUCUGACGGAGCAACGCCGCGUGAGCGAAGAAGGUCUUCGGAUCGUAAAGCUCUGUUGUUAGGGAAGAACAAGUAUCGGAGGAAAUGCCGGUACCUUGACGGUACCUGACGAGAAAGCCACGGCUAACUACGUGCCAGCAGCCGCGGUAAUACGUAGGUGGCAAGCGUUGUCCGGAAUUAUUGGGCGUA